rnacentral:rRNA from 1 species
GGGUUGUGAGGUUAAGCGACUAAGCGUACACGGUGGAUGCCCUGGCAGUCAGAGGCGAUGAAGGGCGUACUAAUCUGCGAUAAGCGCCGGUAAGGUGAUAUGAACCGUUAUAACCGGCGAUACCCGAAUGGGGAAACCCAGUGUGAUUCGUCACACUAUCAUUAACUGAAUCCAUAGGUUAAUGAGGCGAACCGGGGGAACUGAAACAUCUAAGUACCCCGAGGAAAAGAAAUCAACCGAGAUUCCCCCAGUAGCGGCGAGCGAACGGGGAGGAGCCCAGAGCCUGAAUCAGCAUGUGUGUUAGUGGAAGCGUCUGGAAAGGCGCGCGAUACAGGGUGACAGCCCCGUACACAAAAGCGCAUGUGCUGUGAGCUCGAUGAGUAGGGCGGGACACGUGGUAUCCUGUCUGAAUAUGGGGGGACCAUCCUCCAAGGCUAAAUACUCCUGACUGACCGAUAGUGAACCAGUACCGUGAGGGAAAGGCGAAAAGAACCCCGGCGAGGGGAGUGAAAAAGAACCUGAAACCGUGUACGUACAAGCAGUGGGAGCACAGGUUUACCUGUGUGACUG